ensembl:lncRNA
AUGACGUGCUCCAGGUGUUUGCUACUUAUUCUGGUUGUCUACUUCUUGAUGGACGAGCUUUGUGCUUUCCUGAUACCAGACAGACUGCGAGUGAAAAGAAGCAAUCACAGGUCAGAUCAGGAGAUGUCACCACACAUCUAUGAGCUCUCUGAUCUGGCAGACUUGUUCCCAGGAAAUGAAGGGGAAAUGACUCGGGACUGGGAACCCAAUCCCGCCAAGACCCCUGAUUUCUUUCCCCCUAUGGAACACAUCAAUGUGCAACCAGCAAACAGCAACCGCCGCAAAAACAAGGAUAAGAGGAGGAGGCUCACUGUUCCUUUGGACCCCAUUGGCAGCUCCUACUUGUCUUCCAGGAACAGAAAGGAGGAACCUGAAGAUUUUAAGGAAUACGAUGCAAAGUAAUCAAACUAACAGAUGAUGUAUACCAUUAAAAAGGACCGCUUAUGUUGUUUAGUUUUGGUCCUUUUUCACUUGAGUGGUUUCUUUUUUUUUUAAUCCAGUUGAUUGAACUUUUAGUUUCUAUUAAGUCAUUGCAUCUCAGGUUUAUAAACUGUGACUUAUUUAUUUGUAUUUAUGUUUUUCCAAUAUUAGCUUACCGGCUCCCUCUAGUGGGGUGCAAACUGACAGACACUGUUCUGGUGUUGCUGCAAAAUAAAAUGUACAUGGAUAAACUAUUCA